AUCUUUUGUUGUUAUUUAAUUUUAGUCUAUGACCUUACUCUCAACCAAAUACAUUCUUUCUUGUAAUUGAUUCUUUCCACUCCCAAAUGCUUAAAAAUAGAUAAAAUAGGGUACUAAACUCUAGAGCAGCUUUCGUCUGGCUUAAAAAUAGAUAAAAUAGGGUACUAAACUCUAGAGCAGCUUUCGUCUGGCCGGAUGAGUAUGUGCUUAAUGUGUUGUACAUUCUGCAGUUCUAGUUGUACAAGAUAUUGCAUUGUAGCGUUAGCUGUAGAGCGGCUUUCGUGUCUGGGCCAGAUGAGUGUUUGCUUCAUGUGUUGUACCUUCUAUUGUUGGAAGUUGUAGAUUAAUGACAAGUUUUGUCAGUUUUAAUUUCUGCAAGAUACAUCCGCAGUUGUAUUAACUUAUCUCAGGUGGCUAGUAAAGAAAAUAAAUGACAUCAAAAGGUAAUGUUAAUGACGUAAGAAAAAUAAGAAAGGAACUGAUAAUCUUCCUACAGGUCAAUAUACACUACCACCACCACCACCUGUUACCACAAUUCUUCAACCAGCUACUACAAAUAUUCCUCCCCCUCCUAGAUGCACUAUUUCACUACCAAAUGCAUUUUUCAUGCCUCCACCGUCUGACCAGUUGCACACCUCUUCAUCCCAAAAUAGUUUGCAUAGUAGCUCUUCAUUUGUGCCUUCGACAUCAUCCAUACCAAACCUUUCUGGAUUGAGAGUUGGAGGUCCUAACACACCAACAUUGCCAUCCAUAGAUAGUGCUACAAUGCCUAAUGCUACAACAUCUGCUUCUCAGAAUUUGUAAUUUAAAGAGGUAGUAGAAUAUGACAAUGUUGGGAGGCUACGAAUCGUCCCUUAUCGUUACGGGUUCAUUCCAGCAUAUGCCGCCGGGCAUAUGGUUAUAGAAGCAAUUAAACUGGAAUAGUUGGUUAGAGAUUCCAUGGAAAAUUAGAAUUGUCAUGUGGAAACAAUUUAUGACAAAGUGUUCAUGGAGUGAUUGUCAUGAUAAUGAAAUAGACCGCAUUUUUUGAUUGAAAGCAGCUCUACGGGUCAAAGAACACUUGUAUGAGGCCCGGAGGAAAUUGAUCAAACCUGGUUGGUUGAAUGAUGAAGUGUGGACUCAGUUCUUGAUAUUAUGGGAUACUCCUGAAUUUAAGGCGGAGAGGGAAUGAGGAAAGGCAAAUCGAGCCUCUGAAACAGGUGCUCGCUGCACACCGGAGGUUCGAUGAGUUUCGCUACCCACCAACGAAGAGUGGUACUAUUCUUGUCCAACCCCUUUAUCCAUUUACACGUGAUACUUUGAGUAAAUUAUUUGUUGUUAUUGUCGAAUUUGUGUCUUCUGUGGCUGCAAUUAAGCUACCUGGAAGUCUGAAUUCUGUAACUAAAAGUAUCUAAAAAGUAAUAAAGAUAAAAAGUAAAUUGAAUUUGAUGACAAAAGAGAACAACAACAAAAGUACAGUUUCUUUAAGCAAAUGUGUUAAAACUAUAAGUAAUAGAAAAUGUUGAUCUAUACAUACACAAGAGUUUGGUGACAUAUACUGAUGUUGAGACGCAAUACUGAUAGAUUGAUAUGUGAAAACAUACAUCCACAAAAUGCAUAUGCCACAUGAUCAGAGAACCUAUUGUUCUGUCCCUGAAUAGUCUAUAUGCUUGCUAGUUCCAUAAUAUGGCUGCAGACACUAGUUUCACCAUUGAUAACCAAAUAAUCCAACAGUCCUUUGAAAUAAACAGAAAGGAAAAAAGAUUGAAAGUUCUUUGUACUACUGGUGAUAAUGAUGUUGUAAAGGGGUUGUGAUGAUUUCUUCUUUCCUUUCUGGACUAUGUUCAAUCACAGCAUCGAGAAUGACACGUCCCAUAUAUUGGCAAGGCGACCCGUUUAUGGCUUUGAAUAGCAAAUUGGUGUCCGGAGCCAUGGCGGUGUUACUCCUCUUUUGCAUUGUUCUAAAACAGCAAAUCUGAGCCCUCCACAACUUAUUUCUUUCUCUUGGAUGGUGAUUCUUGUCGGGUCGGAAAACCAAUAGACCCUUGUGGUUCGGUCCUUCUCCGGAACUCGUGUAUAGUAGGAUCUUAAUACACUGGACUGCAUUUUUUAAACUAGGACAGUCUUGUUUUUUUUUUUGUGUGUAUGGGUUACUGUGUUGAUAGAAGUUACAUAAAGAGGCAGUGAUGAUGGUGUUUCUGAUUCUAGGCUAACCAAUUCUGGCAUGGAAUGACCCAACCCAGAUCUUGGCAUGGCAACACUAUGUACGCCCUGUGAUUGAGGCUUCUCUCUCCCCUACAAUCAGUGUUUGUUUGCAUCCA